GUACAAGUGUCAGUCUGAAAUGGGAGUGUUUACUCAUGACCUUUUUUUUAAGUCCACCCAUGUUAUGGUGUCAAUAACUAUAAAAAUGAACAUCUAAUUCUUUAUUCCACUGAUACAGAAUUUACUUCAACACCCUGACCUUGCCUUGGGAUGGGUGAAGUGUACUUCCCACGCUCAUUGUGGCUUGGUUGUAUGAGCAAUGGGUUAUUAGUAAUCAUGAAGCAAUGAGAGGCAUGAACUGGACUGGAGAGAUGGACCUGCCCACUUGCAUUUCUGCAGCCACAUAAACAAAGCACACCCUGGUCCCCAGAUGAGACGUGUAUUGCACUCCUGGACCUGUCCUGGAUGAAGCCAGGGGAGAAGACAGAAGAGACCAUCUCGGCUGAUUUACAAGAGAAACCACCAGAUCCCAGAAGCUACUACAAUCCCAUCCUAACCUUCCUGUGCAGAUGACCUUACCAACGUGUCCCAGAAUCCCAGAGACCUACCCCACUAGGGAAAGGCAGAAACAUGAUUAUGUGUCCAGACUUGAGGAACCCAGCAGGGGAUCCUGAGGCACCAGGCUUUCCCUUGGUAGAAAACAAGAGGAGCAAGUUAACUUCAUCAUGAUGGGUCAAAAGGCAUGUGUGUUUAUCUAACCCCAAUGUUCUUUCCUUCUAAAUCACCUUUCCUA